CUAUUGCCCAGUCUGGUCUCAAACCCUAGGCUCAAGCGAUCCUCCUGCCUCAGCCUCCCAAAGUGCUGGGAUUAUAGGUGUGAGUCAUUGUGCCUGGCCAAGAUGAUUAAUUUGAAUGUCAUAUUUAAUUAAUUUGCUUAAUUGUAGUAAUCUUUUUUUACCUGAACCCAUAGAAUUUUGCAGGCACCAUCUGGCCAAGUUUCAGGAGUCAAUAAUACCUUGGAAAAAUUUAAAAGUUCAUUAUAUGGUUUACUUUUGUUAUCAAAUAACUACAUUUUUUGUAAAAUUUAUUAGACAAUCCAAUAAUUUUUCUUCCAGAUUUAAUACUACUCUAGUGUUCUCUGUUUUCUCCUCCAGAUCCAUUAUUUAUUCUUCUCCAUCUUGUUCUGUGUUCCUGGAAGCCAACCUUUAUAAGCUGCAGGAAAUGGAUUUCCUACUCUCCACCUUCUGAUUGGGCUUGACCAACGGGGAGCACUGGCAGAAGACAAGCAUGGGAGGAAAAAGAGAUCAGGGCUGGAGUGCAGUGGCGUGAUCUCGGCUAGCUACAACCUCCACCUCCCAGCCGCCUGCCUUGGCCUCCCAAAGUGCCGAGAUUGCAGCCUCUGCCUGGCCGCCACCCCGUCUGGGAAGUGAGGAGCGCCUCUGCCCGGCCGUGACCCCGUCUGGGAACUGAGGAGUGUCUCUGCCCGACCGCCACCCCAUCUGGGAGGCCCAGCAUCCAAUUCAGUCGCCUUCAAGGAGUCUCUUCAGUCUAAUUUAUUCUAGAACAAUUCUUCAGGCUUCCCUUCUCUGGCCAAGAUUUUUGAAAAAUACAGGUCAAUGACUUUGUAGGUUGUCUUCAGUUUGGAUUUGUCUGCUGUGUCCUCAUGAUUUAUGCAUCUCUGGCAGGAAUACCACAGAAACGAUGCGACAUUCUUCUCAGUGUACCAUAUUAGGAGUCACACAAUGUCAACUUGUCCCAUUACUGCUGAUGUUAAUGUUUACCACUUGGCUAAGAUGAUGUCUGCCAGGUUUCUCCACUGGAAAGUUAACAGUAUUUAGUACGUGUUAAGUGAUGAGUAAUGAAUAAAUAUUUCAUAGGGAGAUGUUCUGAGAGUA
rnacentral:lncRNA from 1 species